GUUGUGUUGCUUUCUGGCACCCCCCUGUGUGAGUCCUUGCUCUCUGCAACUGCAGGCAUCUGUUCCUCUGGUGGUGUGAUUGUCUUAGCUUUGUCACCACUGCCUAUCAUUUCACUCUCUUCUGUAGGGGUGGUCGUUGUUUCUGGGGUGAGGGUUGAGUCUGGUUUAGGGGUGGUUGUUGAUUCUGGGGUGAGGGUUGAGUCUGGUUUAGGGGUGGUUGUUGAUUCUGGGGUGAGGGUUGAGUCUGAUUUAGGGGAUAUUUCCUGUUUGGGGGUGACUGCUGGAUCUGGUUUUGGGGAAGUUUCUUCUUUAGGGGUGACUGCUGGUUCUGGUUUUGGGGAAGUUUCUUCUUUAACGGUGACAGCUGGUUCUGGUUUUGGGGAAGUUUCUACUUUAGGGGUGACUGCUAGUUCUGGUGGUGGGGAAGUUUCUAAUUUAAGGGUGAAUGCUGGUUCUGGUUUUGGGGAAGUUUCCUCUUUAGUGGUGACUGCUGGUUCUGGGGAAGAUUCUUCUUUGGUGGUGACUGCUGGUUCUGGUUUCGGGGACGUUUCUUCUUUAGGGGUGACUGAUGGUUCUGGUUCUGGUUUUGGAGAAGUUUCUACUUUGGGGGUGACUGCUAGUUCUGGUUUUUGGGAAUUUUCUACUUUAGGGGUGACUGCUGGUUCUGGUUUUGGGGAAAUGUCUUCUUUAGGGGUGACUGCUAGUUCUGGUUUUGGGGAAGUUUCUUCAAUAGUGGUGACUGCUGGUUCUGGUUUUGGGGAAUUUUCUACUUUAGGUGUGACAACUGGCUCCUGUUGUGGGGAUGUCUCCUCUUUAGGGGUGACAGUGGGGUACGGUUUAGGGGAUAUCUCCUCUUUAAGGGUGACAGUUGGCUCUGGUUGCGGGGCUGUUUCUUCUUUAGGGGCGACAGUGGCGUCCGGUUUAGGGGAUGUUUCUUCUUUAGGGGUGACAGUGGGGUCCGAUUUAGGGGAUGUCUCCUCUUUAGGGGUUACGGUUGGCUCCUGUUGUGGGGAUGACUCCUCUUUAGGGAUGACAGUUUGA
rnacentral:lncRNA from 1 species